CACAACCUAUUAACUUAAAAGCAACAGGUUUAUCUAAAACCCAAGAAAAACCAACUUAGGGAAAAAAUUCAGGGAGAUACCGAUCAAUAUGGAUCAACCGAGAGCUAUGGCGGAAUCAAUUUUAUACGGAGCAGUGAGUAACAUCUUGUCCCUGUUGGCGUCAAUUGCUGGGCAAGAUGUUGGCUUGAAUUUCGGGCGGAAAAAGGAGCUGGAGAAUCUUGGAGGGACUCUCACCACCAUUCACGCCGUCCUUCUGGAUGCUGAGGAGAAACAGAAGAGCGAUCUUGCCGUGAAAGAAUGGAUGAGUUGGCUGGAAGACGUUGUCUACGAUGUAGACGACUUACUGGACGAAUUCCACUGUGAGAUCCUGCACCAGAAGACGCUUGCUCGGAGACAGGUACGCAAGUUCUUUUCAUCCUCAAACCCUCUAGCAUUUGGUCUUAAGAUGGGUCGAAGAAUUAAGGAGACUAGAGAGAGGCUGGACGCGGUUGCAGCAAAUAUUUCUAAGUUUAAGUUGAGUUCGAGAGUUGCAGCAGAUAUGAUACCCAAGAAUGUUGAUAGGGACACUGCCUCAAAAGUGAGAUCGCAAAUAAUAGGGAGAGAGCAAAAUAAAGAGGACAUCGUGCACACGUUGUUUCACUCUGGAUCAUCAAUUCUUGUUAUUGCUGGAACUGAAAGUGUCGGAAAGACCUCGCUGGUCCAAUUGGUGUUCAAUGAUGCAAAAAUAAAAUGCUUCUUCAAUGAACGGAUAUGGGUAUGUGUUUCUGAAGAAUUUGAUGUGUCUAUAAUUUUUAAGAAAAUGUUGAAGUCUCUUCAAGUAGAUUGUAAAGUGGAUGAUUUGGAUUUACGACAAUUACAAAUACAACUUCAUAAUAAUUUAAAAGGGAAGAGAUAUUUGCUUGUGUUGGAUGAUGUGCGGAACAAAGACAAUACAAAGUGGGAUAAGUUUUCACAAUAUAUGCUGUUUGGUGUUGACGGAAGUAAAAUUCUUGCAACAACUCGCAGUGAGAGGGUUGCAGUUACUAUGGGAGUCAACGCUCCUGAUCGUUUACGACCUCUCAAUGAGGAUCAAUCUUGGGUUUUGUUUGAGCAUGUGGCAUUUAAAGGACAAGGCCAAAUUGAUUCAAAUCUUAGAGUAAUUGGAAGGGAUGUUGUAAGAAGAUGCAAAGGAAUUCCUCUUGCUAUCAAAUGUUUGGGAGGUUUAAUGAGGCAAAAGAUUAAUGAAGAACAUUGGUCGUUUGUCCAAAAAAAGCUACUCACUGAUGAUAGUGUUUUCUUGAUUUUAAGAUUGAGUUACAUGCAGUUGCCAAGUCAUUUAAAACAAUGUUUUGCUUUUUGUUCGAUUUUUCCAAAAGACUUCAAAAUAUAUAAAGACAAGUUGAUCCAUUUAUGGCGAGCGCAGGGUUACAUUCAAUUACAGAUUGAAAAUGAGAAUAUACAGGACAUUGGUGAUGAAUACUUCAAUGAUUUACUAUCAAGAUCAUUUUUUCAAGAGGAGGAGUAUGAUGCCUAUGGGAAUAUUGUUAGUUGUAAGAUGCAUAAUCUUAUCCAUGAUUUUGCAUCAUCUGUUGCAAGUCGUAGUUUUUAUCGGAUGAAAGAUGACAAAGAAGAUAUUCCAAGAAGUGCCCGUUAUGUGUCACUAGAAAAAAAUUCCAAAGAAGUUGCUUUGACUUUGUCGAAAAUAAAGGGGAUAAGGACUAUGUUUUUUCGGACACAUGUUUACGAGGAUUUAUUCAUUCGAAAUGCAACCUUUUUGUGCUUCAAUUGUUUACGUAUGUUGAAUUUGAGUCAAAUGGGUAUUGAAAUCUUACCAAAUUCAAUUGGUAAAUUGAAGCACUUGAGAUAUCUUGAUCUUUCUUGUAAUGAUAUGAUGAAAAUACUCCCAAAUGGUAUAGUCAAAUUGCACAAUUUGCAAACUUUAUUACUCUAUUCUUGCAGCAGACUUAAAGAGUUACCAGGAGAUAUACAACAGUUGAUUAGUUUGGAAUAUCUCAAUAUUGAUGAUUGCUAUGAGCUAAAGUGCUUGCCGAAAGGGAUAGGAGAAUUGACUUCGCUACAAAGACUGGACAGAUUUAUUGUGAACAGCAGUGUUGAAAAGAGUUUCUCAACUGCAGCCACGUUGAAUGAGUUGAGGGACCUAAAUGACCUUGGAAAUUGCUUGCGUUUUGAAAACUUAGAUAAGGUGAGGGAUGUGGAAUUAGAAUCUAAUGAGGCAAACUUAAAGGAAAAGAAACGGAUUCAGUCUUUGCGAUUGCAUUGGGGCCCCCUUGCAAGAAGGCGCAUUGAAAAGGAUAAGUUGUUGUUGGAUAAUCUUAGGCCACACCCGAAUUUGAAAGAGCUGGUGGUACACGGGUAUGAAGGACCAAGCUUUUCAAGUUGGCUAUCAUCCUUGAACAAUUUAGUGAAACUUGAUAUAGACUAUUGUUGGAAUUGCCAAUACCUGCCACCCUUGGAUCAUCUUCCAUCUCUCAAGUCUCUUAUUCUUCAGCGGUUCAAUGUUUUAGAAUAUGUGACAGAUUCUUUCCUCUUGCCUUGUUCCACACCAAGAACAUACUUCCCAGCACUUAAGAAACUUGAGAUCCGAGAGUGUCCUACAUUCAAAGGAUGGUGGUGGCCAACCGCUGAGCGGCCUUGCUUUCCUUGCCUUUCCAAGUUAGAAAUCCGCGCCUGUCCAAAGUUAACCUACAUGCCACUGUUUCCAUCUCUCGACCAAGAUUUGACUUUGAUUGGAACUAGUAUAAGGGUUUUGCAAGAAACAUUGAAGAUGAAGCUGACCGAGGCUAGCAUGACAUCAGAAGCAUCAUUAUCAUCAGUGACCCUUCCCCUCUCCAAUUUGAAGUCUCUGACUCUUAUUGACAUUAAGGAUCUAGAUGGUCUGUCAGAAAAGUUUCUGCAAAAUAUCACUUCUCUUACGCACUUAACAUUAAAAGACUGCCCGAAUUUGGAAUUGCUGCUGUCGCAAAAGAUGAACUGCCUCACCACUUUACAAGAAUUGUCGGUUAUCAACUGCCCUUUACAAGAAGCGAGCCUGGGUCUAAAGAUCUUGAAUUCAAGAAAAAGGAGAGAUGCCAAUGACUUGUGCCAACACUCCUCCGGUCACUACUGAAAUGCACAGUUAUCUGUGAAUGGAGGCAAGCAACAUUUGCUAAGUAGUGGCUCAAGUGAAUGGGAAACGUCCCUCGAAGCUUCUGCUCGUUUUUCCACCCAAAAGUUGAGCUAAGAUCUUGCCAAGCCCUUGACGCCAACAGGGCCAAGAUGUUACUGCCUGCCCCGUAUGAAAUUGAUUCCGCCAUGGAUCUACAACUUGGUUGAAGCAAAGCAUGAGCUAUAACCUGGCAUAUAUGAUUGGCGUUCAAGAAAUUACCAGUAAACGGAGUCAAAUGGUCAGAGUCCAAUCUAGGACCGCACAUAUCCUUCAAUUCUUCAUCCUCCUGUCUUUGUUGUUGGUCUUUUCGUUACAUUGGGUUUAUCCUCUAAAGCAUAGUACAUAUACAAGCUUCACAUGUUAGAAUAUAAUAAUAAUAAUCUGUCAGGAACAAGAAACAUAAAGAAAAGAGGGGGUGAGAAGGAA